rnacentral:rRNA from 1 species
GACGAACGCUGGCGGCGUGCCUAACACAUGCAAGUCGAGCGGAGGUACCGGAAGAGCGAUCGGAAGGUAUCUGAGCGGCGGACGGGUGAGUAACGCGUGAGCAACCUGCCUAUCACAGGGGGAUAACGCAGCGAAAGCUGCACUAAUACCGCAUGAGACCACAGUGCCGGAGGGCACAGGGGUCAAAGGAGCGAUCCGGUGAGAGAUGGGCUCGCGUCUGAUUAGGUAGUUGGUGAGGUAACGGCCCACCAAGCCUAUGAUCGGUAGCCGGCCUGAGAGGGUGAACGGCCACAUUGGAACUGAGAGACGGUCCAAACUCCUACGGGAGGCUG